rnacentral:lncRNA from 1 species
UCCCUUCCCGUUUCGCUGCUGAUCUAGAGACAUACUAGCUACAGGUAGUUGUAGUUUUUGAUUCUUAUACAUACUGAUGUUAGUUUCUCGUUGGAGCGAACGACUUUUGUAUCAGAAUACUAUGUAUGUAUGUUAAACCGAUGUUAUUUAUAUAUGUUUUUCUUUAGCAGCUCUAUAUUACUGGUUGUAGUGUUGUAUGAUUACAGGUACAGGUACAACUAUCGCUUCGUAUACAUAAAAAAUUUUUAUGUAUAUGGCGGGUCUGUUAACGUGCUCGGGGAAACGAGUAAUCCGGAGCGUGACACUAAUUUAAGAACAAAUAAAAAAAUAUAAUGGUAGAAGGAUAUAUUUGAAAAUGCAAAAAAUCAAAAAAGUGUUUUGCUCCUAACUUAGGCUUAGUUUGGUAUUGAGGCCUAUCUAACGCUAUUAGAUAAAAAAGAGUUGGGGCAAAAACAUAUAGGGAUAUGCUUCUGUGUUCUCCAGUACGACGGUAGAAAAUAUAUCGUAACCGACUAUCCGCAAUAUGCAGAACGCGGUAUUACGUAUGGAAACAAACAGAGUAUUUUUUCAUCGUACUUUCUCACCACACUAACGCAAUCUCACCACAAUCCCAAACGAAGAC